UGUUUCUCUCCACAGGUCGGGCUGAGGAAACGAAAGCGAACUGCCAAUGAAAAGUAGUAAGAGUUGGUCCGCUGGAGCCACCUACAAGCGGGGAACUGAAAAUCUCCAUGCGGCAACCAACGGUGUUUCCCAGAACUGCUGCAUCUCCCUCCAAUGGGUGUCAUACUGGUGUGUGACAAAUGGGAAAUGAACAUGAAGGAUUUCUUUGGCUGGCCUACGCAGAAUUUCCAAAGGUGGAGAUGCAUAAGAUUCCCCAGAACAGUAUUUCUUUUGGAAUGAAGCAGACAGAGUGUACUAUGCUCCAGGUUACUAACAGUUAAAGGACUUUGUACCUGGACCUAA